GUGAAUCAUCAAAUUUUUGAACGCAAACUGCACUCUCUGGUAUUCCGGAGAGUAUGCCUGUUUGAGGGUCAGUUUAAAUAAAAAUCGGUUUGGCUGCUGCCUUUCGUGGUGACCCACCGGAUUUGGGUCGUCUUGCCUUCGGUUAGGUGCCCUAAAAUUUUGCAUGAUUUUUUUCGAACGUAUUUAAACGAUUUUACUUACUUUUGCAAUAUCGAAUACUAGGGGUGGUCAUCC
rnacentral:misc_RNA from 1 species